AUGGAUACAAUGAGAGGGGGACAUGUAGGAGUCAAAGUUAAUGAUGAAAUUGGACCUUUCUUUAAGACCUAUAAAGGCUUAAGGCAGGGAGAUGCUAUGUCACCACUACUGUUUGAUGUGGUUGCGGAUGCUUUAGCAGUUUUAAUGAAUAAUGCCCUAAACAUGGACAUUGUUAAGGGAGUAUUGGGAAAUAAUGAAAACAAAGGUGUAAAUAUGUUGCAAUAUGCUGAUGACACCAUUUUUUUGGUUAAAGAUGAUGAAACUAGUGUAAGAAACCUCAAAUUCAUUUUGGGGGCUUUUGAGCAGAUGUCUGGGCUAAAAAUAAACUUCCAUAAGAGUGAGUUGAUGCUGUUUGGUAAAGCUAAAGAGAAACAAUCACUUUACUAG
rnacentral:rRNA from 1 species